GACGAACGCUGGCGGCGUGCUUAACACAUGCAAGUCGAACGAGGGCUCUUCUUCGGGAGGGUUCUAGUGGCGAACGGGUGAGUAACACGUGGGCAACCUGCCCCCGGCUCUGGGAUAACUCCAAGAAAUUGGGGCUAAUACCGGAUAUUCACUGCUGGCCGCAUGGUUGGUGGUGGAAAGAUUUUUCGGCUGGGGAUGGGCCCGCGGCCUAUCAGCUUGUUGGUGGGGUAGUGGCCUACCAAGGCGACGACGGGUAGCCGGCCUGAGAGGGUGACCGGCCACACUGGGACUGAGACACGGCCCAGACUCCUACGGGAGGCAGCAGUGGGGAAUAUUGCGCAAUGGGCGGAAGCCUGACGCAGCGACGCCGCGU
rnacentral:rRNA from 1 species